GCAUGGUCUUAGCUUGCUAAGGCCGAUGGCAACCGGCGCACGGGUGGGUAACACGUAUCCAACCUGCCGUCUACUCUUGGACAGCCUUCUGAAAGGAAGAUUAAUACAAGAUGGCAUCAUGAGUCCGCAUGUUCACAUGAUUAAAGGUAUUCCGGUAGACGAUGGGGAUGCGUUCCAUUAGAUAGUAGGCGGGGUAACGGCCCACCUAGUCUUCGAUGGAUAGGGGUUCUGAGAGGAAGGUCCCCCACAUUGGAACUGAGACACGGUCCAAACUCCUACGGGAGGCAGCAGUGAGGAAUAUUGGUCAAUGGGCGAGAGCCUGAACCAGCCAAGUAGCGUGAAGGAUGACUGCCCUAUGGGUUGUAAACUUCUUUUAUAAAGGAAUAAAGUCGGGUAUGGAUACCCGUUUGCAUGUACUUUAUGAAUAAGGAUCGGCUAACUCCGUGCCAGCAGCCGCGGUAAUACGGAGGAUCCGAGCGUUAUCCGGAUUUAUUGGGUUUAAAGGGAGCGUAGAUGGAUGUUUAAGUCAGUUGUGAAAGUUUGCGGCUCAACCGUAAAAUUGCAGUUGAUACUGGAUAUCUUGAGUGCAGUUGAGGCAGGCGGAAUUCGUGGUGUAGCGGUGAAAUGCUUAGAUAUCACGAAGAACUCCGAUUGCGAAGGCAGCCUGCUAAGCUGCAA
rnacentral:rRNA from 1 species